AAUCCAUUUGUUUGUUUUUCUGAUGGGAAGGUGGAGUCUCAAAUAAUAGAAGCAAAUCACGAUUCUGUUGGCCGACUUCGAGCAACAUUAUACAAUAAGCUUUGAUGGAGAAGUUCAGAUUUAUCCUGGUCAUGGCAGACCACGAAAGUCCCAACAUAUUUCAGAGGAAAACUUAAAGGUGAAAGUCAAAGCGAAGAGAAGCAUGAAUGCGCACCUACUCAGAAAGCACAUGCUGGCGUGCUCCCCAGCCCAACCCAGGCGCAAGUGAAAUCUAUCACCCUGUGUGUGCCUCCCACUCUCGCCGACACUUCACUCUCUGUCCGAAUUCUCGCCAGUUCCUCUCAGAUUUUUAAUCCACCCUAACAUGCCAAGACGCCCAUCCACACAUUGUGCAUCAGCACUAAAAUCAGGUGAGGAAUUGCGCUGGUACGGGACAGCACUCUGAUGGCCCGUCCAGCCAACGAACUGAAUUCGUACCAGUUUGGCAGUGGCAGGCACUUACAGUUCAGUUGGCGCCCAGCAGCUCCGGCUCCGGCAUCGCUUCCGAAUUCCGAUGCGCCCCCGCCCGAAAUACCCACGGG
rnacentral:lncRNA from 1 species